GUGGUGAAAGAUGUAUCAGAUGAUCACUAGUUUUUCCCUUUUGAGAUCAUCUUCGUGUUCCUCGAUUUCUGGGACAAUCGAUAUGUCAGCGCUGCAAUUCAUCACCUGUUCGCCGCAUUGUACUGUAUCAAUCCUGCCUUGAAGGGGAGACAGAAUAGUGCAAUGGCAUAUGAGCCACUUAUACAGAUCCUACCCAUACUUAAGUCUUGUCUGACAUAUCUCGUAAUCGUAAUCGUGGCUGAAACCACAGUUCUGCGCUUCUGAAACAAAAAAGUGGACUAGUCAGCCAAUCCAUGGAGGUAGAGUUGUUGAGAAUAACUAACGCGGAGCCGAGUUCGCACAAGUGGCAUCAAAAGUUGAGUAGUUUGUUUUGCUGUGUCGUCGUCUAGUCGAAUCGAUAGAUGUAAAGACUAAUUGGAACCUCGGGGAGAUGCAAUUCGUAAAAAGCUCACUGUGGGUGCUGCGGUCCACACGAUUUCAACCGACUUGAAUUAUGUGGAGAAACAAGUUGUGUCCGAUGCUGGUGGUGGACCCAACAGCUAGUUGAAAAAUUGCAAGUUUGCCCCGAUCUCAAAUGGUACCAUUCGUUAGGAAGGGAUGCAUUCAACACAUGAAACGACAAAAAACAAAUCGCGUUUUGGUCAAAUUCUUUCCUAUUGACUGGUCAAUAAAUGGACGGUGUGGUGUGCCUACAACCGAAAUUGGCUGUAAAACCCCAUCUGUAGCUGCGUUAUCUGACUCCAAUGACUAUCUCAAUUGCUUCCAGAACUUGGAGUACUGGUGAUUCCUCUUCGACCCACAAUGACUUGACGAGUCAGCACCAGGUUUUAAUUGUUACGUGCUCGAGGAAAUACGGUGAAAUCUUUUCUCUUUGUCUAGUUGACCGCGUCAUCAUAUGAAAUGGGUUCCUCGCACGGUAAACCGGUUUUCCUCUAACGUACCCACAAUGCUCUAAUAACAUUGCCGUGUAGAGCAAAGUGGAGUCAUUAUCUUGCAAGACGAAACUCUUCUGUGAGGAUUUGUCAAAGUGUUCGGAAAAAAUUCAUCUGUAGAGAUUACUGCCGACGACAAGGCAAGGGUGCAGCAUGCGGCAUUAGCCAAGGCUCACAAAUAAUCCUUUUGUUUUACAUUGGCGACAGUUGUGCGUCGGCAAUUGGAUCAUCCCCUAAGACCAGCAAUCUUGGUUGUCACUCCCGCACCUCACUUCUGUCGCGCAUUCGGCGAUGCUUCCACUGAUGUGGAGUUGUCAGUGUGGACUAUCACUACUCGAUUAGAGCAACUCUCAAGAGGCCUUUGAUAGCUGGUGCCCAACCCAGUUCGCCGCCGUCAUUCUAUUUCCUGCUUUAAAUUUGGCUGUUCUUUGUAGAGCAUCUCGCUUGCCUCUCUCGCCGCGAGGAAGACCAACCUAGAUCCGGUGAUAUUUUGACUGGUUUGUUCACUGUGGUUCCGCUACGGACUGGAGGGUAACGAGAUCUGCAAACAAGGUAGUGUAGCUUUCGAUUUCAAGGCGUGAAGCCCGAGCGGCGUCAGAUCAUGAGGUGGUUUAAGUAUAUCCUGUUUCCUGGAAGUGCAUCGCUAGCUGCUGUGUGAUUUACUCCGCCUGUGAUUGACUCCUGUGUCCGUUUCUUAAACUCCGUUGUUUAAUUUGAGGGGAUGCGGAUGAGCAAGGAGCGUGUAGUCGUGUUCUGUUGAAAGUCGAGAUAGUAUUCGUAAUUUUUGAUGACUUAACAAAGGUGUGGUAGGAGUGGUGAUGCUCCUCGAUUAUGUGUAAGAAUGCGUAAGUUUAGUACAGUCCAGCGAGGUGACGCGGUUUUUCAGAUGGUUCAUCAAGCUUAUGGAUUGUGAAUAGUCUUAUUUAAUCGAAGCGCUUUUAUAGCAAUAUCACGUUUUUGGUGAUGUGUGCUUAUUAGCGUACGAAGCAGAUGCUUUUGAGGCUCGUUUUAUGCGAAACACAGCGAAUGGUCUUAUUUAGGUGAGCGAUGCUUGGUGCGAGAUUGUGUGACCUACCUUGUCUAAAGGGGUUUCGCUUCUGUGAAUGUACAUCGAAGUUGUGAAUUGUUUAGCGCAAUUGUGUCGUUAAUGUUUGGCGUGGCAGUAGGUGCGCUAUUCUACAUUAGCGGAUUUAAGUAAGGGGAAGCCAGGCGUUGGUAUUAGGAGUGGCGUCUUUCUAACUGUCGAGGUCGGCCUUGGACAAGAGAGCUAGACCCAAGGUUCGCGUUGGAGGUGGAAAGAAAGCCUUCAAAGAGAUCCGACGUUCUGCUCGCUUGGAUUUAAACUUUAUUCUAAAGCUCUUACUCGUGGUUUAGCAAACUGUAGGACAUCGUUAAAUAUCUAGGCAGAAAAUCUUCGCAGUCGACACUCAUAAGAUGUCUACUUCCUCACCUACAAAUAUGGGAGUUGGGUCUGGGAAGAAGAUGACUAUGGCCAGUGCGCAAGUUGGGGAAAAGCUGGCGCACUUAAGAGCCGACCUUCGAUUUGGAUUAUACCGACUUUCGCAUCCCUUACUGGCCAAGGAGGAGUAUGAUGCAGCGCAUGAAUCGAAUAUUGUUCAGUAAUCGGUAGCCACCGAGAAAAGGCGGCAACAGGAGGCAAGGGCACGUGCCAUUGCGAAUGAGAAAAAACUUGCCAAACGGAAGGAACAAACUAUGCGGGCUGGAUUUUCAGCACCUUUGUAGACUAGAACAUUUGUAGUAUUUGUAUAACGGAAUCAGGAUUCGGAGGCGGUCAUUGUGGCCAGCAUCUCUUUUUUUAUUAGAGGAAUUUAUUGUCUAAUUGGGAUCUAUCGUUAUAUUUAUAAUAGCUCCAGGGUAUAUGAUGCGUGUUGUUGCUUCAGUGGUUAACCCUAUCAUAUAUCGCACUAGGUUACCCUUGUAGCGAACCAAUUUGUAAAUUUUUAUUGAAGGAUGUAGUUCCUAGCUGGGUGAAAAUUAUAUGCUUGAGACCCAAGCACCUCGUCAACAUAAUAACUUUUAUUUUUAUUUUAAUUACAGCUCCAUUUCAGAAUGCUCGUUAUAA